rnacentral:rRNA from 1 species
ACGAACGCUGGCGGCGUGCUUAACACAUGCAAGUCGAACGGAAAGGCCCCUUUGGGGGUACUCGCGUGGCGAACGGGUGAGUAACACGUGAGAAACCUUCCCUUUACUUCGGGAUAACUUCUGUUAACUGGGGCUAAUACCGGAUAGGAAUCCUUUCUUCAUUGUGGGGUUUGGAAAGCUUCGGCUGUUUUGGUUGGUCUCGCGUCUUAUCAGCUUGUUUGUGGGGUAGUGGCUUACCAAGGCUUUUCCGGGUAGCCGGACUGAGAUGGCGACCGGCCACAUUGGGACUGAGAUACGGCCCAGACUCCGACGGGAGGCAGAAGUGGGGAAUAUUGCAAAAUGGGCGGAAGCCUGAUGAAGAAACGCCGCGUGCGGGAUGACGGCCUUCGGGUUGUAAACCGCUUUCAGCAGGGGCGAAGCUUGUGGUGACGGUACCUGCAGAAGAAGCACCGGCUAACUACGUG